rnacentral:rRNA from 1 species
AUUGAACGCUGGCGGCAGGCCUAACACAUGCAAGUCGAGCGGAUGAAGGGAGCUUGCUCCUGGAUUCAGCGGCGGACGGGUGAGUAAUGCCUAGGAAUCUGCCUGGUAGUGGGGGAUAACGUCCGGAAACGGGCGCUAAUACCGCAUACGUCCUGAGGGAGAAAGUGGGGGAUCUUCGGACCUCACGCUAUCAGAUGAGCCUAGGUCGGAUUAGCUAGUUGGUGGGGUAAAGGCCUACCAAGGCGACGAUCCGUAACUGGUCUGAGAGGAUGAUCAGUCACACUGGAACUGAGACACGGUCCAGACUCCUACGGGAGGCAGCAGUGGGGAAUAUUGGACAAGGGGCGAAAGCCUGAUCCAGCCAUGCCGCGUGUGUAAAGAAGGUCUUCGGAUUGUAAAGCACUUUAAGUUGGGAGGAAGGGCAGUAAGUUAAGACCUUGCUGUUUUGACGUGACCAACAGAAUAAGCACCGGCGAACUUCGU